GACUUACUAUCUUUGGGAUCUGAUGCUACACCGCUGCUCAGCACCUUAGUGGAUCAACUCUAUUACAUAAGUUGAUUCCUAACUUUAUAUCUCAUAUCUUGACAUAAGUAAGCAGGUCUUAUUGUAUGGGCCCAAAACCUCAAUCAUUGAUCUUUACGGUGCUUUCUCUAUCAAUUAGAUCUUUUAUCCAUAGAAAUCAAUAUAUAGGCCAUAUCCA
rnacentral:lncRNA from 1 species